GAUGAACGCUGGCGGCGUGCCUAAUACAUGCCAGUCGAGCGAACAGAUGAGGAGCUUGCUCCUCUGACGUUAGCGGCGGACGGGUGAGUAACACGUGGAUAACCUACCUAUAAGACUGGGAUAACUUCGGGAAACCGGAGCUAAUACCGGAUAAUAUAUUGAACCGCAUGGUUCAAUAGUGAAAGACGGUUUUGCUGUCACUUAUAGAUGGAUCCGCGCCGCAUUAGCUAGUUGGUAAGGUAACGGCUUACCAAGGCAACGAUGCGUAGCCGACCUGAGAGGGUGAUCGGCCACACUGGAACUGAGACACGGUCCAGACUCCUACGGGAGGCAGCAGUAGGGAAUCUUCCGCAAUGGGCGAAAGCCUGACGGAGCAACGCCGCGUGAGUGAUGAAGGUCUUCGGAUCGUAAAACUCUGUUACUAGGGAAGAACAAAUGUGUAAGUAACUAUGCACGUCUUGACGGUACCUAAUCAGAAAGCCACGGCUAACUACGUG
rnacentral:rRNA from 1 species